GAGGGUGUAGCUCAGUGGUGGAGUGCCUGCUUAGCAUGCACAAGGUCCCUGGGUUCAAUCCCCAGCACCUCCA
rnacentral:tRNA from 1 species